rnacentral:ncRNA from 1 species
UAAAAUGCUAAGAAGAGGAUUAGUAGGUAUGAUACCUUUUUAAGAGAAGAAAAUGCAAGGUGGAAGUUUUCAAAAGAGCCAUACUGAACCUGCCUUAGAGCUCUGUACUGAAACAGUAGUAGGAUACAGCGGUAAUUGCCGUUAAGAUUGUAAGUAAGUGAGUAUGUUUGAUAUUUGAAUAUAUUAAAGCAGGGUGGUACCGCCGAAUGUAACCUCGGUCCCUUUA